UACGAAGGGGGCUAGCGUUGUUCGGAUUCACUGGGCGUAAAGGGUGCGUAGGUGGUCGGGUAAGUCUGAUGUGAAAUCUCCGAGCUUAACUCGGAAAUGGCAUUGGAUACUAUUCGGCUGGAGGUUUGGAGGGGGGACUGGAAUUCUCGGUGUAGCAGUGAAAUGCGUAGAUAUCAGGAAGAACACCCGUGGCGAAGGCGGCUCUCUGGGACGGUACUGACGCUGAGACGCGAAAGCGUGGGGAGCGAACAGG
rnacentral:rRNA from 1 species